rnacentral:lncRNA from 1 species
UUGUUUCCUGCGGAUUAUGGCUUUGCAUGUAUUUAGGGUUUGGACACAAAACGGUGUCGUUUCAUUUGGCGCGCCAGCCACAUUUAAAUUGAGCCUCCAUUCGAUUCCUGGCUCCAGCAUAAAUCCAAAAUGCUUCACAUUAUUUGUUUUCCCUCCAUAUUCAUGUACAUGCUUCUCAUACUUUUUUUUAAUUUUUAUCCAUCUUCUA